UUACGGUCAUAUGACGUUGAAACAGCGGUUCUCCUUCGAUCACCGAAGUUAAUCAACUUUAAACCUGAUCAGUGCCUAGAUGGGUGACCACCUGAGAAUACCAGUCGCUGUAAG